rnacentral:rRNA from 1 species
UACGUAGGGUGCAAGCGUUGUCCGGAAUUAUUGGGCGUAAAGAGCUCGUAGGCGGUCUGUCGCGUCUGCUGUGAAAACCUAGGGCUUAACCCUGGGCCUGCAGUGGGUACGGGCAGACUAGAGUGCGGUAGGGGAGACUGGAAUUCCUGGUGUAGCGGUGAAAUGCGCAGAUAUCAGGAGGAACACCGGUGGCGAAGGCGGGUCUCUGGGCCGUAACUGGCGCUGAGGAGCGAAAGCAUGGGGAGCGAACAGG